rnacentral:lncRNA from 12 species
GAGAUAAAUGCUGGAGUUUGGCUCUAAAUGCCAACAUCCUUAGCUAAUCUAAGUAAUGCAUGCGCAGGAAGAAUUUGGUGGCCGGGAGCCCAAGUGGAGUUGUAUAAAGAACUCUUAAGAGCAGCUAGUAACCUCUGAGCAGUAGGCCCAAGUGCAUGACAUGGAUACUGAGGCUCAGGGAAAGUGACCAACUCAAUUUCAGGACUGAAGUGGGAGGAGUAGUGAGAUUCCUGGUCCAAACUCAGGGAGUCUUGACCACCCCAGGUCAGCCUCUCCUCAGCCAAGAGUGAUGAUUGACAAAGGCCUCUGUCCUGUUCCGGCUCCCUGGGUCUCUCUGCAGCUGUUAGCAGCUGGGGAAGGAAUCCCUGAGGACUGGGAGUGCUCUGCUGCCCACACUGGGCCAGACGUCUGCCCUUGAACCAAUCAGCUGUGGCCAGGAGGCAGGGCAACUACAGAUGAUGGCAGCUCUUUCAAUAAAGCAAGUGGAUGGAGCCA